rnacentral:rRNA from 1 species
AUUGAACGCUGGCGGCAGGCCUAACACAUGCAAGUCGAACGAGUGGCGGACGGGUGUGAAACGUCUGGGAAACUGCCCGAAGGAGGGGGAAAACUCCAGGAAACGGUAGCUAAUACCGCAUACCAUCGGAUGAGCCCAGAUGGGAUUAGCCAGUAGGUGGGGUAACGGCUAACCUAGGCGCCGAUCCCUAGCUGGUCUGAGAGGAUGACCAGCCAAACUGGAACUGAGACACGGUCCAGACUCCUACGGGAGGCAGCAGUGGGGAAUAUUACACAAUGGGCGCAAGCCUGAUGCAGCCAUGCCGCGUGAAUGAAGAAGGCCUUCGGGUUGUAAAGUACUUUCAGCGAGGAGGCGUUACUCGCAGAAGAAGCACCGGCUAACUCCGUGCCAGCAGCCGCGGUAAUAC